UCCUACGGGAGGCAGCAGUGGGGAAUUUUGGACAAUGGGCGCAAGCCUGAUCCAGCCAUGCCGCGUGAGUGAAGAAGGCCUUCGGGUUGUAAAGCUCUUUCGCAAGGGAAGAAAACGUGUGGGCUAAUAUCCUGCGCGGAUGACGGUACCUUGACAAGAAGCACCGGCUAACUACGUGCCAGCAGCCGCGGUAAUACGUAGGGUGCGAGCGUUAAUCGGAAUUACUGGGCGUAAAGCGUGCGCAGGCGGUUGUGUAAGACAGGUGUGAAAUCCCCGGGCUUAACCUGGGAACUGCGCUUGUGACUGCACGGCUAGAGUACGGCAGAGGGGGGUGGAAUUCCUGGUGUAGCAGUGAAAUGCGUAGAUAUCAGGAGGAACACCGAUGGCGAAGGCAGCCCCCUGGGCCUGUACUGACGCUCAUGCACGAAAGCGUGGGGAGCAAACAGGAUUAGAUACCCUGGUAGUCCU
rnacentral:rRNA from 1 species